rnacentral:rRNA from 1 species
AUUGAACGCUGGCGGCAGGCCUAACACAUGCAAGUCGAACGAGUGGCGGACGGGUGAGUAAUGUCUGGGAAACUGCCUGAUGGAGGGGGAUAACUACUGGAAACGGUAGCUAAUACCGCAUACCAUCAGAUGUGCCCAGAUGGGAUUUGCUUGUGGGUGGGGUAACGGCUCACCAAGACGACGAUCCCUAGCUGGUCUGAGAGGAUGACCAGACACAAUGAAACUGAGACACGUUCCAGACUCCUACGGAAGGAAGCAGUGGGGAAUAUUGCACAAUGGGCAGAAGCCGGGUACAGCCAUGGCGCGUGUAUGAAGAAGGCCUUAGGGAUGUAAAGUACUUUCAGCGGGGAGGCGUGACCCGCAGAAGAAGCACCGGCUGACUCCGUGCCAGCAGCCGCGGUAAUAC